AAUAUUGGACAAUGGGCGAAAGCCUGAUCCAGCCAUGCCGCGUGUGUGAAGAAGGUCNNNGGAUUNUCACGCACUUUAAGUUGNGAGNAAGGGCAGUAAGCUAAUACCUUGCUGUUUUGACGUUACCGACCGAUUAAGCACCGGCCAACUUCGUGCCAGCAGCUGCGGUAAUACGAAGGGUGCAAGCGUCAAUCGGAAUUACUGGGCGUAAAGCGCGCGUAGGUGGUUUGUUAAGUUGGGAAGGAAAGCCCCGGGCUCAACCUGGGAACUGCUUUCAAAACUGGCGAGCUGGAGCAUGGCAGGGGGUGGUGGAAUUUCCUGUGUAGCGGGGAAAUGCGUAGAUAUAGGAAGGAACACCAGUGGCGAAGGCGACCACCUGGGCUAAUACUGACACUGGGGUACGAAAGCGUGGGGGGCAAACA
rnacentral:rRNA from 1 species